rnacentral:lncRNA from 1 species
GCGGACGGGGGACGGCCCGAGUGAGGCGUCCUCCGAAGGCUGCGGGCCCGAAGCCAGAACUCCUUCCUCUCCGAAGACCUCGGGGGUGGGGCUCGCGCUUCCGCAGCGGGCCUAGAGCGAGAGGCAGGCGGCAGGUCAAGAGACUGCUCUCCUCCCCAAGCUAGGGGAACCUUCUGGGACUCCAUCAACUGACAAUGAGGGGAUAAUGGUCCCUCACUGCCCCAUCAGGAAAGGCUCAUGGGUGAUUGGGACCUUUGCUUGAAACCCAACUUACUGGCCAGGAACCUCAAGUUCUGGGACCAGGCGCCUUCCUCCCUCCCACUGUGCCAGAGGAGGGGAGACAAAAUCCCUCAAUGGCUGUCUAGCUCCAGGCAGAUCAGCUGCCACGGGGACUGCUGAGCAGGGAGAGGCUGUCGAUGCUGAGGCACGAGAGAAUUUGCUCCUGCUCCUCCAGAGAAAAUGGCUGGGACAGGCUGUUGAGGAAUAAUUCUGCAGGGAAAAGUGGAAGAUGGCUGUGAAAGACUGGGAGGAGGCUGGCUGUGUUUUCAGGGGUUCUUCCUGCACAGUCGGUAGAAGCUGAGCUGCUGGGGAAGGGGCUGGAAGAAAGCCCACACCGCAGCUGCUGCAGUUCCUGCUCCGGGACGGUUGCUUUCCGCUCUGGGCUCUUCAGACCUCCCACUAGAAAACAGAGAGUACAAUGGUGAGGGGAAGCGUGCUGUGCACAGACAGCGGUCCAGGCAGGAGCGGCCUCUCCUGAGUGCAGAAGGGCUAGAGGCAAACAAAGGGGAGGACACUGCCCCGGGCCACCAUGGGAGGUGGCUCCAGAGGGCAGCAUGGUGGUCUCCACAGGAGACUUCCUCAAUAAAAUGGUCCCAAUAUGACAGGGAUAGGACUGGAUUUCUGUCUUUGAUUCUGUUUUUCUUCUAGGUAUCAGUAGCAAAUUCAAAAACUACAGAAUCAGCUCCAGAGGACUUUGUUAACAAGAAAGAGAAGAUUGAAAACAGCCCUGGGGCUACACCAACUCAAGAGCUCCCAGGCAAAGUGGCAUCCUGGACCCACCAUCUCUCCUACCCCAUCCUCAGUCGGUACUUCCCCAGGCACCGUUUGUUCUGGCAUGGGGCUAGUUCAGCCCUGGGACCACCCUCAUCCUUAUAACUACCAGCUGUCUUUGGUGAGGUGCAAGAUCUCUCUGGUUUUCUUUAUUUCAUUUUCAUUCCUAUAAUCACAGCCUUUUUUGUGCCCAUCCCUCAGGUGACAUUCUAUUAUGUUUGAUGUGUCAUUUUUGAUUUGGUUGUGUCCUUGCAAAAUGUGCGUUGUUUUAUUUAUCAAUUUAUUUUUAUUUUUAUUUUUUUAAAGAGAUGAGGUCUCAUCAUGUUGCCCAGGCUGGACUCCAACUCCUGGGCUCAAGCGAUCCUUCCACCUCAAUCUUCUGAGUGGCUGGGACUACAGAUGUGCGCCACCAUACCUGGCUAUUGAUCAAUUUUUAGUUUACCAAACAGGCAUUAUGUUCUGGGUCCCAUUCUGUGUCGGGUUCUCUUUUCACUCGGC